rnacentral:rRNA from 12 species
GCGGCUAGACGGAAAGACCCCGUGAACCUUUACUAUAGCUUAGUAUUGGCUUUGGAUAAGUAAUGUGUAGGAUAGGUGGGAGACUACGAAGCAGCGUCGCUAGGCGUUGUGGAGUCAUCCUUGAAAUACCACCCUUUGCUUAUCUAGAGUCUAACUCAGAGAUGAGGACAGUGCUUGGUGGGUAGUUUGACUGGGGUGGUCGCCUCCAAAAGAGUAACGGAGGCUUCUAAAGGUACCCUCAGCACGCUUGGUAACCGUGCGCAGAGUGCAAUGGCAUAAGGGUGCUUGACUGAAAGACAUACAGGUCGAUCAGGUUGGAAACAAGAGCAUAGUGAUCCGGUGGUUCCGCAUGGAAGGGCCAUCGCUCAAAGGAUAAAAGGUACUCCA